GAACGGCAAUUGUUGUAUUUAACGACGUCGGAGAAUUUUCAUUCCACCUCCUGUCGCACCCUUUCCCGCCCUGUUCACCAUUCUAUCGACCCGAAUCAUGUUUGCUAGUUUGGUACAUAUUUCAACAGUUUUAUUGCCACUGUUAUCUUGCCUUAAAGCACAAAAAUAAUAGGUGUUACUACCAACAUUAUAAAUUUUAUUCCCGUCCUUUCAAUAACUUUGUAACACACUCAGAAAGAUCAGCUACUUGGUUUGAAACUGGUGUGUUUACUGUCUUAUGUGUUAACUAUUUAAAAACUUGGUACCCUAUUCAGGCGCUGUUCACUUAAUCCGAACGAUACUUACAGACACGGUAAAGGGGACGAAGAUGCAACCCCUUUGAUAGGAGGGUAAAAGUACCCUUGUCAUUUGUUUUCGCAAUUAUCAAGAACAUAUAUAUGAGUUUCCGACUGUAGCAACUUUUACAAAAACUUGCGUGAUUAUUUCGUAUCUGCUAGAAGUGAACCGUUCAUACGCUUAUCGGAAUGGAAAUAUCAUUUACAUAGCAGAAGAAGCUGCAAAUCACUGUUGCAAAUUUUUUCCUUAUCAUGAAGCUAAUAGCCAUGCCCCUGGACCGUGCCGGUGUCUUCAACAACUCUAGACCUCAAAGAUAUUCAUAAAGAAAUACCUAAAUAGAUUUUCAAUGUAAAGUGAGAAACAUAUUACUUUAUCCUCGGUGAGUAUUUAUAAUAAACAAAUUUAUAACAGUUUAGGUAUUGUGAUGUACAUGGUAAACAUUUGCCUUAUCAAAUUCAUCCAGAAAUCCUGUCGUUUUUUGACUCUCUCUUUCUCUUCUGUCGAAAACUAAGAGAAAGUUCUUAUGUUGAUGCACAAGGUAAGGUAAGAGCUGAGACAUACUUGUAAAGCUUUUCACUGCAUCGACCAGUUUCUUAAUUCUCGAAAACUGAGAAAAGGGACCUUAUUUCGACAAGUAUUUUGACAAGAAGCUCAAGGGUAAAGGAAAGCGAAAGAAUGAAAAUUAAUCAAAAUUAUAGGUCCGUGAUUAACAGGGGAAGGGGGUCAUACCCAUCAGUCUACAUUACCAUUCUUUGUCUCCCCCACCUUCAAACAUCACUUUGCCAUGCCACAUCAUUCUAAAGUACCAGGCACCGCGGAGCGUUGAGAAAAGUGGGCUGGUCUAAAGAAAGUGGGGGGGGGGCCUAAAACUGUAUAAAAAGAGGCUUUUCUGGUGGUUUGAUACUUAAUAUUUGGCAUUUUUAUUAUUUGGCAUCUUAAUAUUUGGUUAAACCCCCCCCCAGCCCUCCCUGCUCCGCGGUGCCCGAGUACCUCAGUGAAGUGAGAAGUCAUGCGAUUAGGGUCGAUGAGAACGGUCUUGCUUUUAGUACAAUGUGUUUUGCAUUUUACGGGCUACGUUAUGAAUUGAAGAUAUACGAAAACAGAACCAAGGUGCACAUACUGUGUGUUUAUCAAGUUUCAGUAAGCUUUUGCGUUUUCAGUAUUGCGUUAACAAGUUAAAUCGUCUGCCACGUGGCGAAGUAGGCCCACCACACCUUGAAUUCCUGAUGCCAUUUAAACCUGCAAGUCAAGCUCCUGUCAUCAUGGGGAUACAAUCAGGAAGGUUAUCAAUGAUGCUGUUGCAAACGCUCUCUGGAAAGACAACAUAAAUGACAAGCAGGAGAAUUGAUGUUGCAAUGGAGCCUCUGUAGCUAGAAUUAUCGGCGCCGAGAUGGAGUUGUUGGGCCGUCCCUGAUUAUGAAACUUGCAUCGUGGAAGUACUUCUCUGCUGUAUUUAAGGCCGUUCUGGUCCUAUGAACCCUACCGACGAUCCUGCGACGCUGCGCAAUCCUUGGGGAAGUUGUUGUAGCCUCGGUUCCAGCUUUUCAGCCAACGAACACGGCGGGAAUGAACACCAUGUUGGAUUGCACGACUCGGCCAUGGACGAAGGUUAAGAUUGCAGUUUCAUUUCCUUGUUCUUAUCAACCAAUCUUGGACACAUCUAUUUACAAUCAGCUUAAACGCAAGCUGCUAUAAAGUACGAAGAAUGCUGUUCUGGGAGGAAUUCAAAAGAGGGCGGUUGCAACACGAACUGGCAUCAUCAUGAAGAAAAUCUCAGCAACUUCGUUGCGAUACCACUUGGAGGCUCAACCAAAUGUCUAGAAAUGAUUUCAGAAAGGUAAAAUUUUAAGCUUUAUAUUGUUUCACGUAAAAAUUUUUUUUGAAAAAAUUUCAAGAUUUUUCAACUUUUUUGCAGGUCCGGGGUCAUGAAUUUUUUCAAAAACCACCAACUCCUUAUUUUCAAAAAAUCAGCAUAAAUUUCACCGAAAAGACCCGAAAUGGCGUUCAAAACGUAUCUUGUAGCUUUUUAGGUUGUUUCGAGUAAAAAUUUUUUUUUGAAAAAUUUCAAGAUUUUUCAAUUUUUUUGCAGGUCCGGGGUCAUGAAUUUUUUCAAAAAUCCCCAACUCCUUAUUUUCAAAAAAUCAGCAUAAAUUUCACCGAAACGACCCGAAAUGGCGUUCAGAACGUAUCAAGAGGCUUUUUAGGUUGUUUCGAAUAAAAAAAUAUUUUGAAAAUUUUCAAGAUUUUUCAACUUUUUUGCAGGUCCGGGGUCAUGAAUUUUUUCAAAAAUCACCAACUCCUUAUUUUGAAAAAAUCAGCAUAAAUUUCACCGAAACGACCCGAAAUGGUGUUCAGAACGUAUUUUGAGGCUUUUAAGGUUGUUUCGAGUAAAAAAAAUUUUUUUAAAAAUUUCAAGAAUUUUCAACUUUUUUGAAGGUCCGGGGUCAUGAAUUUUUUCAAAAACCCUUAUUUUCAAAAAAUCAGCAUAAAUUUCACCGAAACGACCCGAAAUGGCGUUCAGAACGUAUCAAGAGGCUUUUUAGGUUGUUUCGAGUAAAGAAAUAUUUUGAAAAUUUUCAAAAUUUUUCAACUUUUUUGCAGGUCCGGGGUCAUGAAUUUUUUCAAAAAUCACCAACUCCUUAUUUUGAAAAAAUCAGCAUAAAUUUCACCGAAACGACCCGAAAUGGCGUGCAGAACGUAUCUUGAGGCUUUUUAGGUUGUUUCGAGUAAAAAAAAUUUUUUGAAAAAUUUCAAGAUUUUUCAACUUUUUUUGCAGGUCCGGGGUCAUGAAUUUUUUCAAAAACCACCAACUCCUUAUUUUCAAAAAAUCAGCAUAAAUUUCACCGAAACGACCCGAAAUGGCGUUCAGAACGUUUUUUGAGGCUUUUUAUUUUGUUUCUGGAAAAAAAAUUUUUUUUUAAAAAUUUCAAGAAUUUUAUAACCUUUUUGCAGGUCCGGGGUCAUGAAUUUUUUCAAAAACCACCAACUCCUUAUUUUCAAAAAAUCAGCAUAAAUUUCACCGAAAAGACCCGAAAUGGCGUUCAAAACGUAUCUUGUAGCUUUUUAGGUUGUUUCGAGUAAAAAUUUUUUUUUGAAAAAUUUCAAGAUUUUUCAAUUUUUUUGCAGGUCCGGGGUCAUGAAUUUUUUCAAAAAUCCCCAACUCCUUAUUUUCAAAAAAUCAGCAUAAAUUUCACCGAAACGACCCGAAAUGGCGUUCAGAACGUAUCAAGAGGCUUUUUAGGUUGUUUCGAAAAAAAAUAUUUUGAAAAUUUUCAAGAUUUUUCAACUUUUUUGCAGGUCCGGGGUCAUGAAUUUUUUCAAAAAUCACCAACUCCUUAUUUUGAAAAAAUCAGCAUAAAUUUCACCGAAACGACCCGAAAUGGUGUUCAGAACGUAUCUUGAGGCUUUUAAGGUUGUUUCGAGUAAAAAAAAUUUUUUUAAAAAUUUCAAGAUUUUUCAACUUUUUUGAAGGUCCGGGGUCAUGAAUAUUUUCAAAAACCACCAACUCCUUAUUUUCAAAAAAUCAGCAUAAAUUUCACCGAAAAGACCCGAAAUGGCGUUCAAAACGUAUCUUGCAGCUUUUUAGGUUGUUUCGAGUAAAAAAAUUUUUUUGAAAAAUUUCAAGAUUUUUCAAUUUUUUUGCAGGUCCGGGGUCAUGAAUUUUUUCAAAAAUCACCAACUCCUUAUUUUCAAAAAAUCAGCAUAAAUUUCAGCGAAACGACCCGAAAUGGCCUUCAGAACGUAUCUUGCGGCUUUUUAGGUUGUUUCUAGUAAAAAAAUUUUUUUUAAAAGUUUCAAGAUUUUUCAACUUUCUUGCAGGUCCAGGGUCAUGAAUUUUUUCAAAAAUCACCAACUCCUUAUUUUCAAAAAAUCAGCAUAACUUUCACCGAAACGACCCGAGAUGGCGUUCAAAACGUAUCUUGAGGCUUUUUAGGCUGUUUCGACUAAAAAAAAAUUUUCGAAAAAUUUCAAGAUUUUUCAACUUUUUUGCAGGUCCGGGAUCAUCAGUUUUUUCAAAAAUCACCCAUUCCUUAUUUUCCUAAAAUCAGCAUAAAUUUUACCGAAAAGACCCGAAAUGGCGUUCAGAACGUAUUUCGAGGCUUUUUAGGUUGUUUCGAGUAAAAAAAUUUUUUUGAGAAAUUUCAAGAUUUUUCAUUUUUUUUGCAGGUUCGGGGUCAUGAAUUUUUUCAAAAAUCACCAACUCCUUAUUUUCAAAAAAUCAGCAUAAAUUUCACCGAAACGACCCAGAAUGGCGUUCAGAACGUAUCUUGAGGCUUUUUAGGUUGUUUCAAGUAAAAAGAAUUUUUUAAAAAACUUCAAGAUUUUUCAACUUUUUUGCAGGUCCGGGGUCAUGAAUUUUUCAAAAAUCACCAACUCCUUAUUUUCAAAAAAUCAGCAUAAAUUUCACCGAAACAACCCGAAACGGCGUUCAGAACGUAUCUUGAGGCUUUAUAGGUUGUUUUGAGUAAAAAAAAAUUUUUGAAAAAUUUCAAUAUUUUUCAACUUUUUUGAAGGUCCGGGGUCAUGAAUUUUUUUCAAAAAUCACCAACUCCUUUUUUUCCUAAAAUCAGCAUAAAUUUCACCGAAAAGACCCGAAAUGGCGUUCAGAAUGUAUCUUGAGGCUUUUUAGGUUGUUUCAAGUAAAAAGAAUUUUUUUAAAAACUUCAAGAUUUUUCAACUUUUUUGCAGGUCCAGGGUCAUGAAUUUUUUCAAAAAUCACCAACUCCUUAUUUUCAAAAAAUCAGCAUAACUUUCACCAAAACGACCGGAAAUGGCGUUUAGAACGUAUCUUGAGGCUUUUUAGGUUGUUUCGAGUAAAAAAAAAUUUUUCAAAAGUUUCAAGAUUUUUCAACUUUUUUGCAGGUCCGGGGUCAUGAAUUUUUCAAAAAUCACCAACUCCUUAUUUUCAAAAAAUCAGCAUAAAUUUCACCGAAACAACCCGAAACGGCGUUCAGAACGUAUCUUGAGGCUUUUUAGGUUGUUUUGAGUAAAAAAAAAUUUUUUCAAAAGUUUCAAGAUUUUUCAACUUUUUUGCAGGUCCAGGGUCAUGAAUUUUUUCAAAAAUCACCAACUCCUUAUUUUCAAAAAAUCAGCAUAAAUUUCACCGAAACGACCCGAAAUGGCGUUCAGAACGUAUCUUGCGGCUUUUUAGGUUGUUUCGAGUGAAAAAAUUUUUUUGAAAAAUUUCAAGAUUUUUCAACUUUUUUUGCAGGUCCGGGGUCAUGAAUUUUUUCAAAAACCACCAACUCCUUAUUUUCAAAAAAUCAGCAUAAAUUUCACUGAAAAGACCCGAAAUGGCGUUCAUAACGUAUCUUGAAGCUUUUUAGGUUGUUUCGAAUAAAAAAAAUUUUUUGAAAAAUUUCAAGAUUUUUCAACUUUUUUGAAGAUCCGGGGUCAUGAAUUUUUUCAAAAGUCACAAAGUCCUUAUUUUCCAAAAUCAGCAUAAAUUUCACCGAAAAGACCCGAAAUGGCGUUCAGAACGUAUCUUGCGGCUUUUUAGGUUGUUUCGAGUAAAAAAAAUUUUUUGAAAAAUUUCAAAGUUUUUCAACUUUUCUGCAGGUCCGGGGUCAUGAAUUUUUUCAAAAAUCACAAAGUCCUUAUUUUCCUAAAAUCAGCAUAAAUUUCACCGAAAAGACCCGAAAUGGCGUUCAGAACGUAUCAAGAGGCUUUUUAGAUUGUUUCGAGUAAAAAAAUAUUUUGAAAAUUUUCAAGAUUUUUCAAUUUUUUUGCAGGUCCGGGGUCAUGAAUUUUUUCAAAAAUCCCCAACUCCUUAUUUUCAAAAAAUCAGCAUAAAUUUCACCGAAACGACCCGAAAUGGCGUUCAGAACGUAUCAAGAGGCUUUUUAGGUUGUUUCGAGUAAAAAAAUAUUUUGAAAAUUUUCAAGAUUUUUCAACUUUUUUGCAGGUCUGGGGUCAUGAAUUUUUUCAAAAAUCACCAACUCCUUAUUUUGAAAAAAUCAGCAUAAAUUUCACCGAAACGACCCGAAAUGGUGUUCAGAACGUAUCAAGAGGCUUUUUAGGUUGUUUCGAGUGAAAAAAAUUUUUUUAAAAUUUUCAAG